UGCCUCCCUGUUUGGAGCAGCAGGACUCGGGUGAGGGGGGGAGGCACCAGCUGGGUGCAGCUUUCCAGGCAUUGGAUCCCUCUGGAUGGUGGGAACAUCCCUGAGCAGGAUCUGCUUUUAGGGGGGAAGAAAUCACAGCCAGAUUUCACGGAAUCAUGGGAUGGUCUGGGUUGGAAGGGACAUUAAAGGUUAGUCCCAUGACAGGGACACCUUCCACCAUCCCAGGCUGCCCCAAACCCUGUCCAGCCUGGCCUUGGGCACUUCCAGGGAUGCAGGGGCAGCCACAGCUGCUCUGGGAAAUCCAUUCCAGGGCCUCACCCCCUCCCAGGGAACAAUUCCUUCCCAGAUCCCAUCCAUCCCUGCCCCCUGGCAGUGGGAGCCAUUCCUGUGUCCUGUCCCUCCAGGCCCUCUCCAUCUUUUUGGGAAGUUCCCUGUAGGCACUGAAAUGCUGCUACAAGAUCUCCCCAAAUUCUCUUCUUCCUCUUCUCAUUCUCCCUUUUUCUCCUUCCUCUUCUCCUUCCCUCUUUUUCUCCUUCCUCUUCUCCUUCUCUCUUUUUCUCCUUCCUCUUCUCCUUCUCUCUUUUUCUCCUCUCUUUUUCUCCUUCCUGUUUUCCUUCCUCUUUUCCUUCCCUCUUUUUCUCCUUCCCUCUUUUUCUCCUUCCCACUUUUUCUCCUUCUCUCUUUUUCUCCUUCCUCUUUUCCUUCCCUCUUUUUCUCCUUCCCUCGUCUUUUCCUUCUAUCUUUUUCUCCUUCUCUCUUUUUCUCCUUCCUCUUUUCCUUCCUCUUGUCCUUCUCUCUUUUUCUCCUUCCUCUUUUCCUUCCUCUUUUCCUUCUCUCUUUUUCUCCUUCCUCUUUUCCUUCCUCUUUUCCUUUCCUCUUUUUCUCCUUCCCUCUUUUUCUCCUUGCAUUGAAACACCCCAAACUUGCCAAUGUUCCAAGGAUUUCUGG
rnacentral:lncRNA from 12 species